CCAAGCAGGGUCGCGCCGAGACGAGGGCAGCCCUGCUGCUGUCCCGGCCCGGGGCUGGGGACCAUGCCCGGAGCGUGCUCCCGCCGGGGAUGAAGGCCUGGGAGGCAGCCACCUCCCCACACCAACACGGCUACAACCUACACCUCCCCAGACCUGCACUCCAAGGGGGUUCGCUUUGUUGUUCAGCCCUGUGAUCUGAACUCCCACAUGGAAGCCCUUUAGCGAUUGUUUGUUAAUGAUCAUGACAAAGGCAUUAUUCAAAUUAGGCAGAAUGGGUCUGCCGUCACAUCUGAUCAUGAAAGUACUCCAUCAAAGGUCCCUUUACAGCGUUACUCGGCCUAUCCGUGCACAAAUCAAGGCAACGCAAGUGAAGCCAGCCUGCAAACCCACCCCACGCUCGCUCCUGGCAGCCCCUGACUGAUGCUCUAACUUUGUUUCAAAUUUUGAAGUCCAUUUGCAUUUCAGUGAUCUUAAAGCACCUUUCGAUUCCCUGAGAGCCUUUUCUCCUCAUUCUCUCUCUCCUCAUCACCACUUAAACAGAGCAAACUUACGUAUUUAUUUACCUGUCAGGUAAAAAAUUGCAAGAUGAGUGUACCCCCACUACCCCCCACCCUUACUUCCAAUCCAUGGGAGCCUGUUAUUUAUUUACAAGCAUUACGGUAUCCUGUUAGCAUUCCGAACAAGGGGCUGUUCAUAUAUCUGCCUCCAAUGAUUUCCUGAAGGAACAUGUGGAAGCAAUAGUGAGGUUGUGCACUCACUCAAGCUGAAGAUGUAUUAAGGCUGCAGAAGGCUGCAGGCAAUGUGAGCAACUGAGCCCAGGCAGGGGGGACCCUGCCAGCCCAGCCACGGGGACUCGGCUGGCCCAUGCUUUCACUGCCUGCCUUUCACAGUCCUCCUCAUUUCACUUGGGGGCAUUUUCGCUUCAGAGACUAAUUCUCCUUAGUCUGGGAGAGAUGGAGCUGCUGGAGCCUGCUGCUUGACUUUGAGAACAAAGUUUUGCUUAGGAAGGAAGGGAAGGGGCGAUGCACGCAGGCACGACGCGGGGGAAGGAGGAAGCAGGCAGGCGAUGCAGACGAGAAGAGGGGAACCACUGUAACCUCCACUUCUUCGAGACGCCCUUCCCAGCGCCCAGGCGCGUCCGCCCCGAGCCCGACGCGUCCCGAGAGGGGCCCGUCGGACGCGUCGCAGCCUCCUUUCCUGAGGCUGCAGUGCCCCCUCUCCCACGGCCGCUGAACAGCUCCCGCUGCAAAGACCGCACGGAAAAGAGCCCGUCUCACCCCUCCAGCACAGAUACCCCUUGGCGCGCACCACCCCUCCCUGUCUCCAGCGCGCAGCAACAAUCAGCAAAGCAGAGAUACUUGUAUCUCCCGCCGGGUGAUCAAAGCCCUGUCCAGAGAGCCGGAUUCACAAGAGCAAUUCAAAAUUGUGGAGACGUCGUCUAGACAGGGUCCCCCGAUCUCGUGCCGAGACCAUCCCAAGCAGCCCGGGUGUCGGAAAGCAGCGGGCUU